rnacentral:rRNA from 1 species
AUACGGAGGGGGUUAGCGUUGUUCGGAAUUACUGGGCGUAAGGCGUACGUAGGCGGAUCAGAAAGUAUAGGGUGAAAUCCCAGGGCUCAACCCUGGAACUGCCUUAUAAACUCCUGGUCUUGAGUUCGAGAGAGGUGAGUGGAAUUCCAAGUGUAGAGGUGAAAUUCGUAGAUAUUUGGAGGAACACCAGUGGCGAAGGCGGCUCACUGGCUCGAUACUGACGCUGAGGUACGAAAGUGUGGGGAGCAAACAGGAUUAGAAACCCUAGUAGUCC